rnacentral:rRNA from 1 species
UACAGAGGGGGCAAGCGUUGUUCGGAAUUACUGGGCGUAAAGGGCGCGUAGGCGGCCGCCUACGUCAGACGUGAAAUCCCUCGGCUCAACCGGGGAACUGCGUCUGAUACUGGGUGGCUUGAAUCCGGGAGAGGGAUGCGGAAUUCCAGGUGUAGCGGUGAAAUGCGUAGAUAUCUGGAGGAACACCGGUGGCGAAGGCGGCAUCCUGGACCGGUAUUGACGCUGAGGCGCGAAAGCCAGGGGAGCAAACGGG